UCCCUGGUAGCUCAGUUGGUAAAGAAUCCGCCUGCAAUGCAGGAGACCCAGGUUCGAUUCCUGGGUUGGGAA
rnacentral:tRNA from 1 species